rnacentral:rRNA from 1 species
GGAGUUAGCCGGUGCUUCUUCUGCGAGUAACGUCACAGAUGUAAGGUAUUAACUUACACCCUUUCCUCCUCGCUGAAAGUGCUUUACAACCCGAAGGCCUUCUUCACACACGCGGCAUGGCUGCAUCACGGGUUUCCCCCAUUGUGCAAUACUUCCCCACUGCUGCCUCCCGUAGGAGUCUGGGCCGUGUCUCAGUCCCAGUGUGGCUGAUCAUCCUCUCAGACCAGCUAGGGAUCGUCGCCUAGGUGAGCCUUUACCUCACCUACUAGCUAAUCCCACCUGGGCUUAUCCAUCAGCGCAAGGCCCGAAGGUCCCCUGCUUUCCCCCGUAGGGCGUAUGCGGUAUUAGCAGUCGUUUCCAACUGUUAUCCCCCACAAAUGGGCAAAUUCCCAGGCAUUACUCACCCGUCCGCCGCUCGUCAUCUUCAAAAGCAAGCUUUUGAAAUGUUACCGCUCGACUUGCAUGUGUUAGGCCUGCCGCCAGCGUUCAAUCUGAACCAAGAUCAAAUUCUGA